UCCUGUUGAGGUUGUCCAACUGCCUCUUGACUUGGAAACAGGCCACUGCAAGGGUUUUGGGUUUGUUCAAUUUACCCAUCUUGAACAUGCCAAGGCUGCUUAGAGUUUAAAUGGAAAAUUGGAGAUUGCUGGCAGGACUAUCAAGGUCUCAUGUGUAACGGAUCAUGUUGGAAGUCAAGAUACCACCGCAAAAUUGGCAGACUUAGAUGAUGAUGAAGGUGGAUUGCAAGCUCGUGAUGCAAAUGAGCCAGAGUCUCCUUUGGGAACAAGACAAUCAUCUGAUGAAAGUAAUCUUUAGGAAAUUUAUGAUAUUGUUUUAGGAUAAAACUAUACUUAGUUUAUUAUGAAUUGGGAUCACAUUUCUUUCUUUGUAACUAUUUCUGCAAUAGGAUUACAUUGACUUCUAGCCUAUCCUUCUG
rnacentral:sRNA from 1 species